GCGAAGAUGCCGUGAUGAACACCUUCCACGGCGAGGUAUGGCCCGUGGCGAAUCCACUGGGUCAGGUGAGGGCUCCCGGUGUCCUCCCUGUUCCCCCGCGGCCACCAGUACGCGCUCGGUACGGUCUUGCGCGCGCACCGGUCUGCGUCCAGGAUACCGAGAUGAAGCACACGCCCCCAAAUCCAUUGGCGCCCGUGAUUCCUUCUCAUCUCCACGAACUCGUCAAUGGCGACCACUCAUCACCCCGGUUUGCGCGACUGUGCACAACGCAGCAUGGCUAUAUGAGAAUAGCUGCGAGAUGGGAUAGCGGCACCCGAUACUUAAACCUGCGAGGGCACCGCAACGGCCCGAGAAGAGGGGGAAAUCUGGUCAGCAGAGCGCGCGAUGCGCACGGCGUCUAUUACGGGUAACCAGCGAAGGAGAAGGAGCUGACCGGGGGCCCCACUGUUCAGUGCGAUGGAUUUAUGGUCAAGGACUGUCGCACCGGACCACCGGUCAUCGGAAAAGCGGGCACGGUUGGAGACUGACGUCUGGGCCCACACGGCGAAGCACGCAGCGAAGCCCGUGGUGGACGAUUGAGGCAGACGGCUGCAGUUGGGGCCCACACGUCGGUGACUGGCGCACGGUUUAGAGAAUUGGGCUGCGUAGAGGAGUUCACAGGGUGGGCUGAAUUGCAAGCCAAAGGCCCAGCUAAGUUAAUUACCCCUUUUCUUUUAUUCUAUUGGAAUUUCCAUUUACAAAUUUGAAUUUGGUUUUCAAUUCCCAAAUCCAAUUGAAAUUCAAAGUUCACGGCAAAUUUGUCUUCACAUUUAUAUGCUCAAUUCCUCUGCACAUAGUAUGGAUAAAUUUAUUUAUUUCUCCAUUUAUUCUAUUUUGCAUAAUAUUUCCUUUCUCUAACUCAAACCCUAAUUCUCUAUUUAGGAUUCCAAUUUCCUCUCAUUAUUAUAUUUCUUUUAUUAUUAUUAUUAUUAUAUUGUCACAAAUAAUGCACACAAAAUAAAAUUUCAUCAUGAUGCAAUGAUUUAGUGGUAUACAUAUUUUAUAAUUAUCUGUUUUAAAAUAUGGUGUCCACAUGUGAUGGCACAAAAAGUUCAAACUCCCACAUAGAUAAAGUGAACUUGUUUCUCCCUUUGAUAUUAGCUCUUGCAAAUUACAAAUCGGGUAUUACAAAUCCUACCCCCCUUAAAAAGAAUCUCGUCCUCGAGAUUUAAGAAGGUCUAGUGAAAAGGUGGGGAAAAUAUAUGCGGAGUUCUUCUUCUCUUUCCCAAGUUACUUCAUCCUCUCCAUGGUGACUCCAUUGCACUUUGCACAUCUUUGUCACCUUAUUUCUUGUAACUCAAGUUAAUGUAUCCAGAAUCUUGAUAGGUUACUCCGUGUAAGUCAAAUCCUCCUGAACACUGAGCUCGUCCAUUGGUAGCUGUUCCUCAGGGACACGGAGACACUUCUUAAGUUGAGACACAUGAAAUACAUUAUGCACAUCAGAUAGAUUAUCAGGUAGCUCGAGUUGAUAGGCCAUCUCUCCAACUUGCCUAAAAACUCAGAACGGUCCAAUAUAGCGAGGGGACAAUUUUCCCUUGACUUUGACUCUCCUCAUUCCAUAAAGUGGUGAAACCUUGAGGUACACAUGAUUCCUUUCCUUAAAUUCCAAUGGUCUUCUUCUAUUAUCCGCAUAGAUCUUUUACCUGGUCCGAGCUACCCUCAAAUUCUCUCGAAUUAUACGAACUUGUUCCUCUGCUUCUUGAAUAAGUUCAGGUCCAAAGAACUGUCUUCCUCUAGUCUUAUCCCAAUAUAGAGGAGUCCUGCAUUUCCUAUCAAAUAUAGCCUCGAACGGUGACAUCUUCAGACUGGCCUGGUAACUAUUAUUAUAUGAGAACUCUACAUACGGCAAACUCUUAUCCCAACUUCCACCAUGUUUAAGAGCACAAGCUCUUAACAUAUCCUCUAGCACUUGGUUAGUCCUCUGUCUGCCCAUCAGUCUGUGGGUGAUAAGCCAAACUAAAAUUUAAUCUUGUAUCCAAUGACUCGUGCAACUUCUUCCAAUAUCGAGAGGUAAACUGUGACCCUCGAUCAGACACGAUCUUUUUUGGCACACCAUGUAGGCAAACAAUUCGUGCCAUGUACAACUCUGCCAACUUAGCUCCAGAAUAUGUGGUCUUCACUAGAAUAAAGUGGGCUACCUUGGUUAGCCUGUCCACAAUCACCCAUAUAGAAUCAUAUCCAGCAGACGUGCGAGGCAAUCCAAUAAUGAAAUCCAUACCAAUCUCUGCAAUCCAGUAAUGAAAUCCAUACCAAUAUCUUCUCACUUCCAUUCGGGUAUCUUUAAUGGGUACAAUAGUCCAGCUGGCCUCUGCUGUUCAGCUUUAACUCUUUGACACACAUCGCACAUAGCCACAUGUGCAGCCACAUCUCUCUUCAAUUCAUACCACCAGUAUUUUUGCUUCAAAUCCUGAUACAUCUUAGUACUCCCAGGGUGAAUAGAAUAAACUGAGUCAUGUGCCUCCUUCAAUAUGGUUUCCCGAAGACUAUCAAUGUCGGGAACACAGAUCCGAUUCUUGAACCAUAUCGUGCCUUGCUCAUCCUCCGUAAACUCUAGGCCUCUACCCUCUGUUAUCAGAUCCUUGAUCUCCUGGAUUUUAGCAUCACCAAUCUGACCUUUACGAAUUUCUUGCUCCAAGGUAGGUUCCAAUUCAAUGGUAAUUCCUUCCGUAUGUGUAACAAUUCCCAGGUUGAGUCUCUCAAAAUCUUUUGCUAAUUCAUCAGGUAGCUGGGCAACAACAGCUGAAUGAACAUGCUCCUUCCGACUCAAGGCAUCUGCAACCAAAUUUGCCUUGCCUGGGUGAUAGUGAAUCUCCAAAUCAUAAUCCUUAAUGAGCUCCAACCAACGGCGUUGCCUAAGGUUGAGAUCCUUCUGAGUGAAUAUAUACUUCAAACUCUUAUGAUCCGUAUAUACUUGGCACUUAGUUCACAUGAUGUAGUGUCUCCAAAUCUUAAGUGCAUGCACAACCGCUGCCAAUUCCAAGUCAUGAGUGGGGUAGUUCAAUUCAUGCUUCCUCAACUGACGAGAUGCAUAGGCGAUCACAUGUCCUUCUUGCAUGAGCACACAUCCCAAUCCUUGGCCAUAUGCAUCACAAUAACUGUCAAAUCCUUUCUGUAGAUCUGGCAUAACCAACACUAGUGGUGACAACGGUCUCUUCUUUAAUUGGUCAAAGCUAUCUUGGCACUUCUCAUCCCACUUGAACUCUCUUUCCUUCUCCACAAGUGAGGUCAUGGGCUUAGCAAUCUUAGAAAAUCCUUCAAUAAAUCUACGAUAGUAUCCUACAAGCCCCAAGAAACUCCGAAUCUCCGUAACUGUAGUGGGUAUGCUCCACGCCACUAUCUCCUUGACUUUAGCAAGAUCCACUGAUAUCCCUCCAUUAGAAAUGCUAUGUCCAAGGAAUGACACCUCGCCAAUCCAAAACUCGCAUUUGCUAUACUUGGCGUAGAGUUGAUUAUCCUUUAGCUUUUGUAGCACCAAUCUCAGGUGUUCCUCAUGAUCACUAUCACUCUUGGAAUAGAUAAGAAUAUCAUCGAUGAAAACCACGACGAAUCUGUCCAAAUCAUGAACACCUUAUUCUUCAGAUCCAUAAAAUAGGUUGGUGCAUUAGUUAGUCCAAAUGUCAUAACGGUGAACUCAUAUAAUCCAUAUCGAGUCGAGAAAUCCGUCUUGGGAAUAUCCGAUGGCCUAAUCUUCAUUUGAUGGUAUCUCGAUCGGAGAUCAAUCUUUGAGAAUACUCUAGCACCUCUCAUCCGAUUAAAUAAAUCCUUAAUGCGGGGUAAUGGACACUUGUUCUUCACAGUGACAUCGUUAUGGGACCUAUAAUCCACGCACAUCCCUUGCAAUCCAUCUUUCUUCUGUACAAACAAAAUCGGUGCUCUCCAAGGUGAAGACUCGGACGAAUGUACCCAGCCUCUUGCAACUCCGUUAAGUGCUUCUUGAGUUCUUUUAACUCUUCUACAGACAUCCUAUAUGGCCGUUUAGAAAUAGGAGCAGUUCCAGGUAAUAGAUCUAUGACAAACUCAACUUCCGUAUCUGGUGGCAUCCCUGGUAACUCCUCUGGGAAGACAUCCGGAAAAUCUCUAACCACACGGAUGUUGUCACUAACAAACUUCCCAUCUACUAAAAAUGCCGCUAGUUUGGUGGCGAUAGUUACUGCAAUUCCAACUUCAAAUCUUUCUUCUUUGGAACUGGUGAGUUCUAUGGUUCCUUUAGCACAGUGUAUAAACUGCAUUUGACUUUCUUAACCAUGACAUACCAAGGAUUACGUCUAUAGUGCUCUCUUCUAACACUAUAGGGGUAUAGCCCAUCUGGGUUAGAAACACAGGGUAAGAAGGGAAGAAUUGUAGACAAGGCAUGUAAUUACGAGAAAUGUUACUGCGGGGGAUUUAUUAGCUAAGUAGAUUAGUGUGUUAUCCACUAAAGCUAAUACAUUGCCUUAUGGUGGUACAUGCUAAGAUGCCCGUCUAUACUAUUUCAAUCAAUCAAAGAAGCAAAUCAGGCAUUGAUCAUCAGAACAAUCAACCAACAUUUUUAAUAGAGAAAAUAAUUUUAAUUUUAUCUUAGGUUCCCUAUCUCUGGAAAAGUUCAUAGUUAUAGGAUUCCAAGGUGUGAAAUCCAUCUUGUCUUGAAGUAGAAAAGAUAAGAAUAAUCAGAGUAGAACAGUAGAAAGUGAGACAGGAUCAAGAUAAGUGUAGAGAGAAUCAGAGUAAGGUAAGUAUAGAAUGAAUCAGAAGAAGGUAAGUAGAUAAGGGUUUGUCCAUUUCUAUCUAGGUUUCGUCCUACAGUCAACAUUUCCUUUGAUACCACUUCUGUAACACCCGGUUUUAAAGGACAAAGCCGGGUGCAUCUCAUACAUGCGCCAAAGAAGACAACAUAUAUAAUAACAGAGUGUAUAGAGAUAAAUGUCAUACAACAUCAGAGUAUUUAUUACAUAGCGGAAGACUUAAUACAAAAUAAAAGAAUAAACAUAAAACGAACUAAGGAUCGUCGGCGCCAAUGUCAACUGAGAAACGCCACCUAGAUCAGAUCAAAUUCCUCGCCUUGUAGCUCCUCAUGAAUCACCUGCUCUUCUCCUGUGGGGGGGGUGUGAGACAGCAAGAGUGAGCUCACAUACGUUCAUCGCUCAACAAGUUGUGGGGAAUAAUGUGGCAUGAACUCACCAAAGGUGGGAGUUCAUGUGGUGUAAGGCUGAUCAAUGGAAUAAAGGCUGAGGCUGAGCAUUGCUUUUAUAAGUUGGUCAAAAUUUUAUUAGCAAUUACUAAGUGUAAGUAAAUACCAAACCUUAAUAAUAAUAAAGAACAGUAAUAAUAAAAUAAUCCCAAAUGCGAUGCAAAUGUCAAAUUAAAUUUAAGUUCCAUAAUUAAUCAUGUGAGGGUCCGAGCCGCUCAUGACCGUGAGCACGGCUAGUAUACUAGUUUUACACUCUGCAGAGGUUGCGCAUCUUUACCCACAAGUCAUGUUACCCAUCUGCCAAGAGAUGGCCAAUCCCAUACACCUCUACCGAGGAGGCGAGACAGGGUAACACUACGAGGCCUUUACAAAGUUCCACUAGCUUCAGAAAUCCCGCUACAGUUUAUAGGAAGCUCCAGUGCAGGGUUCUUGCCUGACCGCCAUCGCAGCAAAAUCAACCCAAGGACCUCCCUACACUGACCACUCCCCUACUGCCCUUGCCCCUUUCGGGUAAGGAAGACCUCCACUAGCUUUCCUAGUUAAUCAGCCAAGGGCGUCCCAUUAAACCCUUGUGGUAGCACUGUUUUCCCGGGUGGUCGCUCCAUGUUCCCAUUAAUUUAAUGAUCUUAACAUGAACAGUAAUAAUAACAAGAUAAUAACAGGAUAAUCAUGUGUAGUAUAACUCCAUACCCAAUCCACAUAAAGCAAUAGCAAGUACUACCCAAAAAUAUUUCAGGGGUGAACAAGGUAUAGAGGUAAUCAAAACUGGGGUAACAUAAAGGCUCCCAUCAAAAUUAACCUAUGCAGAUCAUUAAAAUUAAUAAGAACAUGGCUGGGAAAAGUAAGUGAUCAAGGGCACAACUUGCCUGGCACUUGAGAAUCCAGGUACCAACUUGCCUUACAGAUGACACGUGCCUUCGCGCUAGUCGUAGCAACACAAACAAAUAUGGUAUAGCUAAAGUUAACAUCACACCAAACAUAAGAACAAACUAAAUAAUAAUGAUAUACGCGUUUCUACGAGACUAACGCAACUUGAACAGAUCAAUUCGGAGUUAAAACAGAGAAGUUAUGAAUUUCUGAAGAUUUUAUGUGUUUGGUACGAGAAUAACUAAGUGAUAAAAUAGAGUUACUAAUUGAUAAACAUUGUUAAUAUGAAUUUUAUGCAACUAGAAUGGAUUCAUUUGGAGCUAUAAUGAAUUUAAUAUGAUUUAUCCAAGUUUCUGGAAUUGUUUUUAUACUAAAAACCUAUUUUCUUUAUUAUUCCUGAAUUUCCUAAGAGUUCUGGACCACAGACAUAAUUAACAGAGAGUUUGGGGCUUAAACUACAAAUUCCAGGGCUCGGUUCUAAUUAUUUAACACUGUGCGCGGAUGGCGGGUUCAUUUGAAAAGAGUCCGAGGGCUCUUUUGCAAAAGUCCCAGGACAAAGGGGUAUGGGGGAUCUCUGGCCGCAAGAUCGACAACGGACGGCUACGAUUAGAUCUGGCCUAUUAUGAAACGUUACGCGACGACGUCCCUCGGAUCAGAGACCAACGGUGUGGAUUUAAAAAAAUGACCGCGGCAGGUUCACGUCCGUCCGAUAGCAUCCGACGGCUUAGAACCAAUGCGCGAAGCGGUACGACCGCUGCCCUAAUCUGCACCGUCGACCCAUCAAUCAACGGCAACGGCAAUUUGCCCCCAGGCUUCUUCAACCUCACGACGCGGCUAGAGCUACGUGCCGAAGCCCGCGCGGCCACUUCCUCACCGGAGCAACGCGAGCCCACCCCCAGGUGACCCAAUCACGAACCUAACCGGUGAUAGUGCAUAAGUAAGGAUGACGGUACGAAGGGGGCCACUUACUGGCGAAGAUGCCGUGAUGAACACCUUCCACGGCGAGGUAUGGCCCGUGGCGAAUCCACUGGGUCAGGUGAGGGCUCCCGGUGUCCUCCCUGUUCCCCCGCGGCCACCAGUACGCGCUCGGUACGGUCUUGCGCGCGCACCGGUCUGCGUCCAGGAUACCGAGAUGAAGCACACGCCCCCAAAUCCAUUGGCGCCCGUGAUUCCUUCUCAUCUCCACGAACUCGUCAAUGGCGACCACUCAUCACCCCGGUUUGCGCGACUGUGCACAACGCAGCAUGGCUAGAUGAGAAU
rnacentral:lncRNA from 1 species